rnacentral:rRNA from 1 species
CCCUUAGAUGUUCUGGGCCGCACGCGUGCUACACUGAGUGGAUCAGCGGGUCAGGUUGCGCGAAAGCGUUUCCUAAUCUUUAAAUCCGCUCGUGAUGGGGAUUGACGGUUGCAAUUUUCUGUCAUGAACGAGGAAUACCUUGUAAGCGCGGGUCAUCAUCCCGCGCUGAAUACGUCCCUGCCCUUUGUACACACCGCCCGUCGCUCCUACCGAUUGAGUGGUCCGGUGAGGCUUUGGGAUCUGAGUGGAAAGAGCGUUUCGCUGUUUCUGCUUGGAAAACUCAGUCGAACCUUAUCAUUUAGAGGAAGGAGAAGUCGUAACA